rnacentral:rRNA from 1 species
GUAGGGAAUCUUCCACAAUGGACGAAAGUCUGAUGGGGCAACGCCGCGUGAGUGAAGAAGGUCUUCGGAUCGUAAAACUCUGUUGUUAGAGAAGAACGUGCGUGAUAGUAACUGAUCAUGUAAUGACGGUAUCUAACCAGAAAGCCACGGCUAACUACGUGCCAGCAGCCGCGGUAAUACGUAGGUGGCAAGCGUUGUCCGGAUUUAUUGGGCGUAAAGGGAACGCAGGCGGUUUUUUAAGUCUGAUGUGAAAGCCUUCGGCUUAACCGAAGAAUAGCAUUGGAAACUGGAAGACUUGAGUGCAGAAGAGGAGAGUGGAAUUCCAGGUGUAGCGGUGAAAUGCGUAGAUAUAUGGAGGAACACCAGUGGCGAAAGCGGCUCUCUGGUCUGUAACUGACGCUGAGGUUCGAAAGCGUGGGUAGCAAACAGGAUUAGAAACCCUAGUAGUCC